rnacentral:tRNA from 1 species
GCAGCAGGCUUGGCCGAAUGGCAAACCUGUCCGCUUCGUAAGCGGAAGAUCAUGGGUUCGAUUCCCAUCUGCUCCA